rnacentral:misc_RNA from 1 species
GCCAUUUUGGAAUCCGUCAUUGGAUCGCCACACUCGAAGUUGAUAUCUCUACGUGUUAAGAGAAAGUGUCGUGAAAAAAAGAAGUAGACCUUCGCGCUUAAAUUUGCUAAGUGGAGAAGAAGUAACGACAACCGGGGAUUUAAUUCUUAGUGUUUUUAACAGAAAAUGAGCCAUAAUAACAGGCCACCACCAAGAAUUGACGGAAUGAUUUCACUGAAGGUGGACAAUUUGACAUAUCGCACGACGCCGGAAGAUUUGCGGCGUGUGUUCGAAAGAUGCGGCGAAGUCGGAGAUAUUUACAUACCGCGUGACCGUUUCACGCGUGAGAGCCGCGGAUUCGCGUUCGUAAGAUUCUAUGAUAAACGCGAUGCCGAGGACGCACUUGAAGCCAUGGACGGUCGCGUCCUUGAUGGAAGGGAGCUUCGCGUCCAGAUGGCCCGAUAUGGCCGUCCCACGUCGCCGCAUAGACGAAGCGGUUCAGGACGUGGUGGCGGUGGAGGACGACGACGCAGGUCACGUUCACCGCGUCGUCGCUCCAGAAGUCCGCGAAGGCGAAAUGCCUCGUUCUCGCCAAGGUCGCGUUCUCGAUCAUUCGGAAGUAGAUCGCCUACGAGAAGAGGAAAAUUCUCAAGAUCCCGCAGCCCCGUGGCCAGGAAGUCAUUCAGUCGGAGCAACAGCAGAAACGGACGGAGCGUGUCACGCAGUCCUAGUCGAAGUAGAAGUUAAGAUGCGAUGCCGGGAACCUGACGAAGGCAUGAUGUUGCUAUCUGCAAACAUAGCGAGGACAGUCCCAAGACUGGCUCUGUAUGAAAGGCCGUUCCUGUUUGGCUGAUGUGAAUUGUGUAUUGCACGCUGUUCGCUCCACCCUCCACUUUUUGUUCUAUCUUGUAACGGUUGUGUAUUAAGCGCAGACUGCAGAGGGCAGAAUUGGCAGUGGCAGUCGCAAGUAAUAUGAGCUGUUAGAAUGCUGUUAACAUGCUGUUUAGAAGGCGGUGAUUAAGAGCUGAUCAAGCGCCGUUGAGCUGCUGCUGUGUAACGAUUUUCAAGUACAAAUGCGCGUUUGUAUCGAGUCCUAUCAAAUUGUGAAUCCAUUUCGAAACGUUGCAACGUGAUGCUGGUCCAUACAAAAAAA